rnacentral:sRNA from 2 species
GAAGCGAUACAUACAUACGUAGCCAAGUAAACACAGGCUAAUGUAGGCUCGGUCCUGUGUUGAAGCAAUUGAUCAACCUAGUAUUGAAUCCCUGAUUGACUAACAAGCUUUGUACCGAGCUGCAAAGGCUCCUCCGGUUCCUUCGUUGGAAUCCCAACAUUCCGUUUAAGAUUAAUCCCCGCUGCGUUCUUUGGAAUAUAGGGGGCAUUGAGAGUACUCGAAGGCGAGUUCAUAAUUGAGCGAGUUUUGGUCAAUCCAGGGCAGAGAUUAUAAGAAUUGAACUGUAUCCUAGAGAGUCGCGAAGUUGAGGGUGUUUUAAACCGCGCGGCAAGCUGACGUGAAAUCAUGGCACCUAGAUAAGGAUACACAUCAGUAAUACGAACUAAUGACGGAGCGCUUGGAAGGACUUUGGAGAAUUUUCAUGUCCCGAUUCUGGGUGGAGGCCUGCGGAAAGCUGUGCUGAGGGCAGUUCUGCAAAUUUGAUUGCUUGUCUCGAGGUUGAGCGAACUGCUAGGCGCUGCCCGCCCCAUACAUACAUACAUACAUACAUACAUACAGACAUACAUACCAGCCAGCCGAAUAGACCAACAUAAUUGAAGUUUUAUAGUAGUAAUUUAUUUUAAAAAAUGAACAAAUCAAUC